rnacentral:tRNA from 1 species
UUUCGUAGCUGUCCUGGUGUUAUGUUUUCUCCGAGCUGACGUGCUCUUUUUGUGAGCGUUGCUUUGCUAACGAGCACUUAGAGGACAGAAACGUCACCUGGAACUGGACUCUUUAGUAUCUCGAACGCCUUUGCUGGCUGUCAGGGAGGUGUACAGUCCCCGCAUCCCUCAGACGUCAGGUACGCAGUUCACCGACACAAAGACCAUGAUUGUGGCGGCUGCAUCUCUCUAGAUGUGAUGCCAGUGCUGUGAGUGUCGAGUUCUAUUCGGAGUCGCUAUUCGGCGCUUUCAGGUAGUAGGGGUUUGACAAGUCCCGCAUGACGUGAAGUCCAGUGGAGUUCCACAUGCUUUGCUCAUGAAUCAGCAUGUUCUUUCAUUUGUGUCCCCACGCAGCUCGCAUGUCCUCUGUGACUGAGAAAAGACCCGAUAUCCUGUGUUUCUGCGAUUCUUUCUUUGGCAGUUAGAAAGUCUGUUUGGAACCUUUCUCCGAGUUCUCGCGUGUGUGGUGGGUAUCUGCCGAUGUAGCUCAGUCGGUAGAGCGCGAGGCUCUUAACCUCGUGGUCGCGGGUUCGAGCCCCGUCGUCGGCUUUACCUUUUCGCCAGAUUCUUCUUCUUUUUAAUCGAUUUGUUUCCCUUUCGUCCGUGUCUUCUUCCCCGACGAAAAAGAAUAUCCGGGGCAACGGGGUUGGCGGGUCAGCCCUCGCGGGCGGUCCUCCGACGUCAGUCGCAUGUGCAUGCUCGCGGAAGAGGAAGUGCAGUCGUGAAACCAAUGCCCAGGGAAAAUUGGUGCUGUGUGCUGAAGAGAGAUGAAGGUGUGGAGUUCUCUUUUUAAAGUAGAGACUCGCCAGCGUUUCUCGGAAUGCUUAGUGAGUGCGGUAGAGUGAUCUUGCUGCAUGCAGGCACGAACGGGGCGGUUGUUUCGUGUUUUCCCGUGUUGACAGGUAGAUGUCCCACUUUUGUGGAGGCUGUGGUGCAGAACGUGCGGGAGUUCCUCUCAGUUUGUCACCCUGAUUCGGGCGAAACGUCUUUCCUCUUGUAACCGGUUCUGUUUAGGCGUCGCGAACUGCCACUGCCAUGUCGGCUUAACCUUUGUGUCCGUGUUUCGCCCGGCGAAGUGUCAGUUGUUCCGAAUGGAACGAAACACGGCCGUUUCGCACUGCUGGCGCGAAGUCGCCUGGUCUGUGCACUUUCGUGAAACGCAUGCUUUGUCUGUCCUUCAGAAAAGGGAAGUGAUUUGUACAAAGUAAGCGCUUUCGAGUUAGGCUCACGGUGGAGAUGUCGUUCGCGAGCGUAGUCGUCUGUUCCGGCGCAGCAGACGAAGUAUUCGUGAAGCACUUUGCCAGCUGAGUAUCACUUCUGCGAAACAGACAACAGAGCACCGCUAACGCGAGAGAACGUAGAGCGUUUGCAAUCCUUUACGGAAACACGCAGCCCCGUGUCUUUUUGUAAGUUCACUGCGCGCAAGUCAGCAAGCGUGAGGAAUGUACUUAACCAUCCAAACUGCAACACCAAUCUACGCAGCUUUGCGCCGGGGAAAGCUCCAGAGUCACACACAGCAAGACACGCCUAGAGAGCCGCGAGAAUGUGCGAGUCUACGCGCGACUGUAGCUUUGAGGACGCGCGCGUUUUUCGGGAUUCGAGGUAGAAGGCAG